GGAGAGUGGAAUUCCAUGUGUAGCGGUGAAAUGCGUAGAUAUAUGGAGGAACACCGGUGGCGAAAGCGGCUCUCUGGUCUGUAACUGACGCUGAGGCUCGAAAGCGUGGGGAGCGAACAGGAUUAGAUACCCUGGUAGUCCACGCCGUAAACGAUGAGUGCUAGGUGUUGGGUCCUUUCCGGGACUCAGUGCCGCAGCUAACGCAUUAAGCACUCCGCCUGGGGAGUACGACCGCAAGGUUGAAACUCAAAGGAAUUGACGGGGGCCCGCACAAGCGGUGGAGCAUGUGGUUUAAUUCGAAGCAACGCGAAGAACCUUACCAGGUCUUGACAUCCCGAUGACCGCCCUAGAGAUAGGGUUUCUCUUCGGAGCAUCGGUGACAGGUGGUGCAUGGUUGUCGUCAGCUCGUGUCGUGAGAUGUUGGGUUAAGUCCCGCAACGAGCGCAACCCCUAUUGUUAGUUGCCAUCAUUCAGUUGGGCACUCUAGCGAGACUGCCGGUAAUAAACCGGAGGAAGGUGGGGAUGACGUCAAAUCAUCAUGCCCCUUAUGACCUGGGCUACACACGUGCUACAAUGGCUGGUACAACGAGUCGCAAGUCGGUGACGGCAAGCUAAUCUCUUAAAGCCAGUCUCAGUUCGGAUUGUAGGCUGCAACUCGCCUACAUGAAGUCGGAAUCGCUAGUAAUCGCGGAUCAGCACGCCGCGGUGAAUACGUUCCCGGGCCUUGUACACACCGCCCGUCACACCACGAGAGUUUGUAACACCCGAAGUCGGUGAGGUAACCUUUUAGGAGCCAGCCGCCUAAGGUGGGAUAGAUGAUUGGGGUGAAGUCGUAACAAGGUAGCCGUAUCGGAAGGUGCGGCUGGAUCACCUCCUUUCUAAGGAAAUGGAACCUGUACGUCAGUCUUCUUUAAUUUUGAGAGGUCUUGUGGGGCCUUAGCUCAGCUGGGAGAGCGCCUGCUUUGCACGCAGGAGGUCAGCGGUUCGAUCCCGCUAGGCUCCAUUAGGAUAGAAAUCCUACUAAACUGAAUAACAGUGAAGUUGAAUUCACGACUAACUUCUUAGGAAAAUAGAUAAUCUUCCUUGUGUGCAAGACACACAAUGUCAGAUUCCUAAUUUUCUACAGAAGUUUCGCAGAAGCGACCGUCGUUCAUAUCCUAAACUUGUCCAUUGAAAAUUGAAUAUCUAUCAAACAUUCCUAAACGUAUGUAAAAGUACGUAUAGAAAUAGUAACAAGAAAAUAAACCGAAAACGCUGUGAAUAUUUAAUGAGUUUUCUAAUUUUUGAAAAAAUUAGGUUAAAACAAGUUACGAAGACGUUAAGGAAAACGUAUGAUUUUAGGAAAUCAUCGCAGUAGUCUAAGGACUACAAGAGGAUUUGUCUAAAUCACUAGUUUUCUAGUCUGAGUAUGAUUAUAAGGUUAAGUUAAUAAGGGCGCACGGUGGAUGCCUUGGCACUAGAAGCCGAUGAAGGACGUGACUAACGACGAAAUGCCUUGGGGAGCUGUAAGUAAGCAAUGAU
rnacentral:misc_RNA from 1 species